GACGAACGCUGGCGGCGUGCCUAAUACAUGCAAGUCGAACGCAGUGGCGGACGGGUGAGUAACACGUGGGUAACUACCCAUCAGAGGGGGAUAACUAUUGGAAACGAUAGCUAAUACCGCAUACUAGUAGAUGGACCUGCGUUGUAUUAGCUAGUAGGUAGGGUAAUGGCCUACCUAGGCAACGAUACAUAGCCGAACUGGGAGGGUGAUCGGGCACAAGGGGACUGAGACACGGCCCAGACUCCUACGGGAGGCAGGAGUAGGGAAACUUCGGAAAUGGGGGGAAACCUGAACGAGCAACGCCGCGGGAGUGAAGAAGGUUUUCGGAUCGUAAAGCUCUGUUGUGAAGGAAGCGGUACUUAACCAGAAAGGGACGGCUAACUACGUGCCAGCAGCCGCGGUAAUUC
rnacentral:rRNA from 1 species